GCACAAGCGGUGGAGCAUGUGGUUAAUUCGAAGCAACGCGAAGAACCUUACCAGGUCUUGACAUCCCCUGACAACCCGAGAGAUCGGGCGUUCCCCCUUCGGGGGACAGGGUGACAGGUGGUGCAUGGUUGUCGUCAGCUCGUGUCGUGAGAUGUUGGGUUAAGUCCCGCAACGAGCGCAACCCUCGACCUUAGUUGCCAGCAUUCAGUUGGGCACUCUAAGGUGACUGCCGGCUAAAAGUCGGAGGAAGGUGGGGAUGACGUCAAAUCAUCAUGCCCCUUAUGACCUGGGCUACACACGUGCUACAAUGGGCGGUACAAAGGGUCGCGAACCCGCGAGGGGGAGCCAAUCCCAAAAAGCCGCUCUCAGUUCGGAUUGCAGGCUGCAACUCGCCUGCAUGAAGCCGGAAUCGCUAGUAAUCGCGGAUCAGCAUGCCGCGGUGAAUACGUUCCCGGGCCUU
rnacentral:rRNA from 1 species